ACCGAUGGUACCAAUUCUUACACAGGUAUCGGUUUUUCCGUUUCUUAAAAAAAUGAGUAUCAACUGUUUUUUUUCCAUCAUAGUAUUGAAUGGUAUCAUGAGUAUUGGUUCUCAUGACAUUCCUACUCUGUACAAACAUGAC